UUCUGUCAAUGAUGUUAUACAUUUACCUACAUUGUUUGACUCUUCUAAUGAAAACAAACAUAAGCUGAGACAAAU